rnacentral:tRNA from 1 species
CCGGUAGCGUUACCCCGGAGUGCAAAUYUGGAGACGCACCCCCAAAGGUGCCGGGGCUUCUCCCGUUUUAAGAGAGACGGGAGAAGG